GAGCUAUCUAGCUUGAUUGUCAAUGGAAUAUUUCAUCACAGACAAAGAUCAUCUCAAAUAAAACAAGCUUUGCAUUUGAAAACAGGAAGAAACUUGCAUUUGAGUAUGUACGCGCUGUUGAGUAGGUAAAAAAUUGCGGCUAUUCCAAUUUUUGAAACUCGAUCUUUUUUUCACCCACAAAGAAAGCAUUGAUCCCUCCCAUUUUUGUGCCCAUCGAGUUGUUUGACGAAGUCAAGAUCCCGGAACUGCCCCCAUGCUCACAGAGGCACCGGCAGCGGC
rnacentral:lncRNA from 1 species